GUCUACAGCCAUGCCACCCUGAACACGCCCGAUCCGCUCGAUCUUGUAUGAUCUCGGAAGCCAAGCGGAGUCGGUCCUGGUUAGUAUGUGGAUGGGAGACCACCUAGGAAGACCAGGUGCUGUAGAUU
ensembl:rRNA 5S_rRNA 5S ribosomal RNA